UGUCUCUAAUGCAUGUCAGAGAGGUGGCUUUUUGGUUUAAUGUAAAUUAAAUAGUGUCUGGAUUAAGACUUAAAAGAUAGGUCUUUUUUAAUCACAUAAGAACUGACCACACAAAAUUGAACUGAAGGUGUGGAAUUGAGCCAUUGGCUAUGUGGGGCUGAGUUUCAGAGUGGGAUUAAACCAUGACACCAGUGCACAGACAUCCAGGAAUUCUUGUCUCUCCCAGCACAGGGAGCAACUGGAGCCAGAGAACCCCUGCACUGCCUCCUCCAUGCAAAAGCCACUGUCAGACCGAGACGCCUCAGGGAUGUAGAUGGAGAAAUAAAACUGAAUGAAGAGGAACAAAUAUUCAUGUAGCUCAAGGAUGUGGAGAGUCCUGACAUGUUAGAAGGAGGAGGGACAGUGUGAGAUAAAGUGAGGUUUGAUCAAUCCUUGCAGACAGAGUCUGUUUAAGGCAGAGGAAUCAUCUGCAGCAA